rnacentral:rRNA from 1 species
UACAUAGGGUGCAAGCGUUGUCCGGAAUUAUUGGGCGUAAAGAGCUCGUAGGCGGUCUGUCGCGUCGGAUGUGAAAAUCCAGGGCUCAACCCUGGACCUGCAUUCGAUACGGGCAGACUAGAGUUCGGUAGGGGAGACUGGAAUUCCUGGUGUAGCGGUGAAAUGCGCAGAUAUCAGGAGGAACACCGGUGGCGAAGGCGGGUCUCUGGGCCGAAACUGACGCUGAGGAGCGAAAGCGUGGGGAGCAAACAGG